rnacentral:lncRNA from 1 species
AAGUGAGCAGUGACAAUCUAGACUGAUUAUUAGAGGUACUUCUCCCACUUUUCAGAAACCAAGGAGCCUUUGAUUAGUAGUGAAAUUGUGGCACCCCAACUACAGUGGAGUGGAAUGUCCUGCUAUUCUGGAGGGGUGAUGGCUCAGGGUCAAGACUGGACUAAUUAGAAAAAAAAAUGCACUCCAGGAAUAUCAAGUCCGAAACAAAGCUCAUUUCUCAUGUGCGCUCCAGGAGUAUCAAGUCCAAAACAAAGCUCUUCAAACCACCUAGGAAGAGAAAACAGCAUGACAAGGAAAGGACCCUGAUGUCUGAGGAAGAAGGUUCACAUCCAACUCUGCCCCUGGUGUGUCACGUGCCGGCCUUGUCAACGCACACGAGAACCUGACAGGGUCCCAUGGAAUUCAGACAAGGAAGUAAAGCAAAUGAGAAUGGCCCACAGGGGAGCAGUUCAAAUGCGCAGAAAAAGAUAGAGCAGCCCCAAUGAGGAAGGAAGGCUGGACAAGAAAUGGAUUUGUAGGGAAGACAAUGUGCACCCAUCGGAGCUCUGAUUGCUUUACUUUCACUACCCUCCCCUGCCCACUAACAUCGAAAAAGUAUCAAUGAUUUGUGAACAUGGCAUAUGGCAUACGAACACCCUGAGAGUAGGAUCGUGGGGCAUCCGAUGGUGAUUGUCCUUAGAGUUGGUGGGGGCCCAGCUUCCCGCUGUCUGUGAACUGCUGCGUGCAGAAUCGGUGUCUUCUUUAACUUCACAACGAUGCCACAAGGCAAAUAGCAUUGUCUUCACUUUCUGUGUAAGAAAACUAAGGCUGGGUGAGAGUAUGCAGAGCUGGAUCAUGGAUUUGUUUGGCUCCUUCUAGUUUGAAAACCUAAGUUAAAAGCUGAGAUCGUGAGGAUUUCCAGGGACUCCUGCCACCAGCUCAUCUCACAUCAUCAUUUACAUGGAAAUGUUGGGACUGAGGUGACCUCAUGCCUCUCAAUUCCCAGCCAGCCUUCUCUCCCUCUGGCUCCUAGCCAGCCUGUUAAACAGAAAAAAUAAGUGAGACAAAUAAAAAACACCCUAGUGUUCUAACAAGUUACACAUAAUUGCUUGCUUACCAAUUGUCUACCUCAGAACUUUGUUUUCCUCUUAGAGUCAAUAUAAUCAUUAAAUUCAGCUUCUGCCAUUUUACAGUCUGAGAUGCGGGACUUUGCAUAGGGCAUGGAUGGGUUUCCACAGUCCACACGAGGAUGGGAGGAGAGCAGGGCAGACCCAGCCACACUCAGUGAGAGUUCUGGCUGGAGUUACUUGGCUGGACAUCACUCCAGAGAGAGGAGACCUUCUUCUGGACCAGCUACCAAGACAGCCCCUAGUUGGAAAAUCUUUUCUUCUAAGGUGAGAUGCAGCCCCCACUGGAGAGGAAAACACCAGAGAGUUUUUAAAAAGGAAAAACCAAGGUAAGCUGAGGAGCUUCUUGACAGGAGACACAGCGGAGUCCACGCAACUGGGGUGAAUCUCUGCAGUUCCCCAACAGGACGGCGGGAGGGAGCCCCAAGACACUGGCCCCUGCAGUGUGGGAGCAGUGUGAGCCAUCUGCAGUGACAUUGUCUCCUCUGGCAGCAGCCUCCAUCCCGAAAUCCAUCUCAGGGUCUGUCCUUACAGGAACCUGAUGCCAGAGCUGUGCGCUCAAAGUAUUUGGACACAGGUAUUCUGUGUAACUGAGCAUU